rnacentral:rRNA from 1 species
UACGUAGGGUGCAAGCGUUAUCCGGAAUUAUUGGGCGUAAAGAGCUCGUAGGCGGUGUGUCGCGUCGGCCGUGAAAACCUGCAGCUUAACUGUGGGCGUGCGGUCGAUACGGGCAUCACUGGAGUUCGGCAGGGGAGACUGGAAUUCCUGGUGUAGCGGUGAAAUGCGCAGAUAUCAGGAGGAACACCGGUGGCGAAGGCGGGUCUCUGGGCCGAUACUGACGCUGAGGAGCGAAAGCGUGGGGAGCGAACAGG